AUUGAACGCUGGCGGCAGGCCUAACACAUGCAAGUCGAGCGGAUGAGUGGAGCUUGCUCCAUGAUUCAGCGGCGGACGGGUGAGUAAUGCCUAGGAAUCUGCCUGGUAGUGGGGGACAACGUUUCGAAAGGAACGCUAAUACCGCAUACGUCCUACGGGAGAAAGCAGGGGACCUUCGGGCCUUGCGCUAUCAGAUGAGCCUAGGUCGGAUUAGCUAGUAGGUGGGGUAAAGGCUCACCUAGGCGACGAUCCGUAACUGGUCUGAGAGGAUGAUCAGUCACACUGGAACUGAGACACGGUCCAGACUCCUACGGGAGGCAGCAGUGGGGAAUAUUGGACAAUGGGCGAAAGCCUGAUCCAGCCAUGCCGCGUGUGUGAAGAAGGCCUUCGGAUUGUAAAGCACUUUAAGUUGGGAGGAAGGGCAGUAAGUUAAUACCUUGCUGUUUUGACGUUACCAACAGAAUAAGCACCGGCUAACUUCGUGCCAGCAGCCGCCGUAA
rnacentral:rRNA from 1 species